UACGAAGGGGGCUAGCGUUGUUCGGAAUUACUGGGCGUAAAGCGCAUGUAGGCGGUCCUACAAGCCAGUGGUGAAGUCCCGGAGCUCAACUCCGGAAUUGCCUUUGGAACUGUAGGACUGGAGUAUCGGAGGGGGUGGUGGAAUUCCAAGUGUAGAGGUGAAAUUCAUAGAUAUUUGGAGGAACACCGGUGGCGAAGGCGACCACCUGGACGAUUACUGACGCUGAGAUGCGAAAGCGUGGGGAGCAAACAGG
rnacentral:rRNA from 1 species